rnacentral:rRNA from 1 species
UACGUAGGGUGCAAGCGUUAAUCGGAAUUACUGGGCGUAAAGCGCGUGUAGGCGGCUUUGCAAGUCGGGUGUGAAAUCCCUCAGCUCAACUGAGGAAGUGCGCCCGAAACUGCUUAGCUUGAGUGCCGGAGAGGAUGGCGGAAUUCCCCAAGUAGAGGUGAAAUUCGUAGAUAUGUGGAGGAAUACCGAUGGCGAAGGCAGCCCCCUGGGAUAACACUGACGCUCAUGCACGAAAGCGUGGGGAGCAAACAGG